CAGCUUGUUGGUGGGGUAAUGGCCUACCAAGGCGACGACGGGUAGCCGGCCUGAGAGGGCGACCGGCCACACUGGGACUGAGACACGGCCCAGACUCCUACGGGAGGCAGCAGUGGGGAAUAUUGCACAAUGGGCGAAAGCCUGAUGCAGCGACGCCGCGUGAGGGAUGACGGCCUUCGGGUUGUAAACCUCUUUCAGCAGGGAAGAAGCGCAAGUGACGGUACCUGCAGAAGAAGCACCGGCUAACUACGUGCCAGCAGCCGCGGUAAUACGUAGGGUGCGAGCGUUGUCCGGAUUUAUUGGGCGUAAAGAGCUCGUAGGCGGCUUGUCGCGUCGGAUGUGAAAGCCCGGGGCUUAACUCCGGGUCUGCAUUCGAUACGGGCAGGCUAGAGUGUGGUAGGGGAGAUCGGAAUUCCUGGUGUAGCGGUGAAAUGCGCAGAUAUCAGGAGGAACACCGGUGGCGAAGGCGGAUCUCUGGGCCAUUACUGACGCUGAGGAGCGAAAGCGUGGGGAGCGAACAGGAUUAGAUACCCUGGUAGUCCACGCCGUAAACGUUGGGAACUAGGUGUGGGUCACAUUCCACGUG
rnacentral:rRNA from 1 species